rnacentral:lncRNA from 1 species
GAAAUUGUCAAAUCAUCAUCUUUACCAUCAACUAUGUCUGCACAAGAAGCUGAAUUGCAAGCCCUGACCUCAGCAUGCAAGAUCUCUGAAGGAAAGCAUGCCAAUAUCUACACGGAUUCAAGAUAUGCACUGGGCGUGGCUCACGACUUCGGAUUAAUUUGGAAAACAAGAGGAUUUCUUACUACCGCCGGUACACCAAUCAAGCACGGUUCCGCAAUCAAGGAGCUGAUGGACGCCCUCCUACUCCCAGAAGAAGUGGCCAUUCUGAAGGUAAAGGCACAUGGGAAGUUGGACUCAGAUGAAGCAAAGGGCAACCAUCUAGCUGAUCAGGCUGCAAAACAAGCUGCAAGAAAACCAC